rnacentral:tRNA from 1 species
AUGUAGCUCAGUAGUACAGCACUUGUCUAGAAUGUAUGAAGCCCUAGGUUCAAUUCCUAGCAU